rnacentral:rRNA from 2 species
UACAGAGGUGGCAAGCGUUGUUCGGAAUUACUGGGCGUAAAGGGCGCGUAGGCGGCUCGACAAGUCCCGCGUGAAAGCCCCCGGCUCAACUGGGGAACUGCGCGGGAAACUGUCGGACUUGAGUUCGGGAGAGGGAAGCGGAAUUCCGGGUGUAGCGGUGAAAUGCGUAGAUAUCCGGAGGAACACCGGUGGCGAAGGCGGCUUCCUGGACCGACACUGACGCUGAGGCGCGAAAGCUAGGGGAGCAAACGGG